CGCUAGCUACAUGCUUAACACAUGCAAGUCGAGGGGCAGCACAGUGUAGCAAUACAUGGGUGGCGACCGGCGCACGGGUGCGUAACGCGUAUCCAACCUUCCCGUUACUCUUGGAUAGCCUUCCGAAAGGGAGAUUAAUACAAGAUGGUAUUCAAAUUCCGCAUGUUAUUUGAAUUAAAGAUUUAUCGGUAACGGAUGGGGAUGCGUGACAUUAGAUAGUAGGCGGGGUAACGGCCCACCUAGUCUACGAUGUCUAGGGGUUCUGAGAGGAAGGUCCCCCACACUGGAACUGAGACACGGUCCAGACUCCUACGGGAGGCAGCAGUGAGGAAUAUUGGUCAAUGGUCGGAAGACUGAACCAGCCAAGUAGCGUGAAGGAUGAAGGUUCUAUGGAUUGUAAACUUCUUUUAUACGGGAAUAAAACCUCCCACGUGUGGGAGCUUGUAUGUACCGUAUGAAUAAGCAUCGGCUAACUCCGUGCCAGCAGCCGCGGUAAUACGGAGGAUGCGAGCGUUAUCCGGAUUUAUUGGGUUUAAAGGGAGCGUAGACGGGAUGUUAAGUCAGUUGUGAAAGGCUGCGGCUCAACCGCAGCACUGCAGUUGAUACUGGCGUCCUUGAGUGCGGUUGAGGUAUGUGGAAUUCGUGGUGUAGCGGUGAAAUGCUUAGAUAUCACGAAGAACUCCGAUUG
rnacentral:rRNA from 1 species